rnacentral:tRNA from 1 species
GCCAAUUUAGUGUGAUGGUUAAGACAUCAGGAUGGAAACUUGGAGACUGUGAGUUCUAGUCCUGUAUUAGGCA